ACAUCUCGUUAAGACUGAGUACAGAGAUAAAGACUCUAAGCUACCACAGACUAGCUGACAACUCAACCUUGAAACACUGGAAUAAUCUCCAAUGCUCUUUCACGAACCCACAACAUGGCAGCUUAACCUGCACACAAAGGUGAAGCAAGUGUAGCAUGAGUAAAAAAAAAAAAAAAGACAUGCUCAGCACGUAUCAUUGACCGACCCAACAAGGUACUGGGGAAGAUUGGUCUUUUAAAAUAAUUAUGAUUCCUUGGGUUGAGUUAAACUCUUUGCCCUAGAUUCUUGAUUUGACUGUGAGAAGUCUUGAGCUUUUGUUGAUUUCGUACAAAGGUAGAAGUGGUUAUACUUAGAUGGGAUUAAAUGAAACUUAUGAGCAAGCACGAGGUCAGAUCUGGAUGAUGGUUCUAGUUCCUUCAUUAUAUUCGAUGUUGAUCAAAAGGAAGACUCAGAGAAGCAUCACCAAUACAUGUUUCAACAGAGAUAAUAGAGAUGACUGCAUUGACGUCUACUAGACAUGCAAAGGAACUAUAACCUAAAGUGUGACUUUUGUUAAUUAAAGGGGCAUACUCGAGCAGGAUGUUAUAGAGUUGUUGCUUAAAUUUCAAAAGAAGUUUGGCAAGACUGCUGUCAUAAUGUAACAAUGAAGACAAAUAGGAGACAUAAGAAGAAGAUCAUGGACAGUUCAGUAAUAAGCGUGUUAUGGACUCAACUCAGUCUUUAUAUUUCACCCCAGAUCAGUAUAAUCAAAUUCUAAGGUUGUUGACCAAAGAUAACAUUAAGGAAUGCUCAUCUAAUAUGGCAGGUACUCUACAUGCAUGUUUAGUUAAUUCUGAUAAAUGAGAAAGAAUUGUGUAUACAGGAUCCACCAAUCACAUGAUCUUUGACUUGAACAUGCUGGAGAAUAAGGUUAGACUCAAUAGUACAAAGGUAUAGAAAGUUCAUCUAUCAAUUGGUAAUGUCACUAAGAUGUCUCAUGUUAGAUCUUGUAGAAUUACAGGUGGGAGAAAAAUUGAGUAUGUUUUGUACAUUCCAUGUUUCAAAUAUAAUUUGUUGUUAGUUUCUAAAAUCACUAGGGAGUUAAAAUGUUCCGUCCCUUUUUCUCCUGAUUUUUGUGUGUUUUAGGACCUUUACAGUAGGAAGGUCAAAGAGACUGGUAGGGAAUGAGAGAUGGACUCUACUUGCUAUCUCAAACUCCUGCCGCAAUCACCAAUUUAACAAACAUAGGAAUGCACACAAGGUCAAACAAAGAAGAUGUUGGACUUCAGCAGAGAAAGAUGAAACACUCCCAGUUGGAGUAAUCAGACAAAUCUUUGGCUUGGCACAUCUUAAUAGUCUAAAUGUGUUAGAGAAUUGUUCUAUUUAUCUCUUAGCUAGGCAUACUAGGUUGCCAUUUACUAGAAGUACAAAUAUCGCAUUAGAAAAUUUAGUUGUUACAUAUUGAUGUGUGAGGUCCUUACAAUAAUGUACAAACCUUUGAUGGAAAUAAGAUGUUUCUUGCUA